rnacentral:lncRNA from 1 species
UGCCUGACCCAGGGCACCCUCCCAAAGAUGCUUCUGGUCUCUGAUCCCUAGACUGAUACCCCUUUGGGUUAUUGCUGGACCUCUCUACCCAGAGACUACAUCAUGGAGCAAAUUAUGGAUCAGACUGUGAGGCUCAUCUCCACACCUCUAUAAAGCUGAUUACUGCUGUGUAUUCUGCAGCUGGGAAACACAGAAAGGAAUUAAACCCAUCACUUUCUGAAAUGCUAAGGGGGUUUAGAUAUUGACAAUGAAGUCUAGUCUUCAUGGUCCUUGUUAACCUAAGCAGUGCUUGAUCUAGUUCCUCUCUGAAGUAUCAGGUCAGGAGAGACUUCUGUAUGGAAGAUCAAAGAAUGCACAGAAUUGUGAGGAAGAAGGCUCAAACCCCUUCCAGUCUCUCUCUGGUGCAGCAAACAAGGAGAUCCAGGGGGACACUGCACAGUUAGAUGGCCACGCUGGAGAAUGAGCUGCCUGCUAUACUCUUCAUGCCAACUUGAAUUUUGAGCUUCCUUCCUCUGUGAUUGUCUGCAUUUCCAAGAGGUCUGUAAGGUAGGAAAACUGGCACAAGGGCUUGGCAAUGCAGUGAAGGGCCUUGGGGAUUCGAUCAGGGUUCAGAUGAACCUGUCAAAGUUGAAAAAGGACAGCUUUAUCUUUUAGCAGCCAUUUGGGCUGUUCACCAUGGGGCUGUAUGUGAUGCUGGCUACAGACAGUGGUGGGAGCUGGGGUUGAGACAGGGAAAAAAGGAAGGACCAUGACAGAUGUGCACAGGUCUGCCUGUGGUUCAUUAGCAGAUUUCUAAUCUAACAAGAUUCUGCUGCCCUGACCAAUUAAUUCCCUGUGAAACUGACCCAAUUUUCCAUAGAUCUCCACUCAAGUCAUGUGCAUUAUAAACCCCAAGUUUGUCCUCUGGGACACAGACUGCGCAGGAUCUCAAGGAACCCUUGCUGGAUAGAUAUGGGAACAUUUAAUCCUCAGUAAUUUUUUUUAACCACCUGAUAGUUAAGUUGUCUUUCUCAAGAAUUAAAUUCUUCAAGUGAACCUGCCCACCCCUUCCAAAAUUCUGUCAACAGUCCUUUUGCCCUCUUUCUCCUGCUGAUUCUUCCUUCAUGAAGCCCAUAG